AACAAUGAUCCGUACCAGUGGCUGUACAGGAGACUGGAACUUACUUCACUAAUUCUUCAGUGUGAAGGCUUUAGAACAGAUUACAACUGGUCCGCAUCCUUGAAGUUUCUCUCAUGAAUUUGACUUAAUGGAGCUCGUUAGGGGGAUAUCUGAGCAAAGAUGCACCAGGGAUCAAGAGCCUGCAAAAUCUGCAUCCUCCCUGCCUGUCAUUCAAACCACUGCUGUAGUAGCCACAAUCGGUAGUA
rnacentral:lncRNA from 1 species